rnacentral:tRNA from 4 species
GGCGGGUUGCCCGAGCGGCCAAUGGGAGCGGACUGUAAAUCCGUCGCGAAAGCUACAGAGGUUCGAAUCCUCUACCCGCCACAA